rnacentral:lncRNA from 1 species
GUCCACUUGACUCCAAAUCCAGUGCUCUUCUCCCCCACGUGUCUUUGCCCCAACACUGCCUUAAAGCAAAUCGGUAUCUUUCAGCAUGUCUUUUCAAGCCUCCUGAUUUGCUCUUUUUUGCCCUGACUCAGCUACCCAGUGCUUCAUCCUGGCAGUGUGGCAUUUCAGGCACAGGAGCCUAGCUGUGGAGAGACCUGCCCUCUGGCUGGCAUACCUCUCUGGUCCUUCGAAUCGCCAAAUUCCAAAAGGGGAAUAUGCCUUGGAAGAGGACUGUUGGAAGCCAUUUUCUGAACUCACUAAGUCGAGGAAAAAAAAAACACAACAAACUCCUUGUGAGCUGACUGUCCGGUCAGAGCAGAGAUGCCUGCCUGGUGAGCAGAAAGAAGCUCUCUGACUCCCCUUCACCGGUACCGUCC